GAGAAACAAUCAUUAGCUCUCUAUUUUUCGAUCCUUUCGCUUCGACUAGCUUCUAAAUUUGUAUUAAAUUUAUAUUUUCCUUAAUCUCGAUCUAAGCCAAGCUUCUCAAAGAUGUGCGGAGGCGGUUGUGGUCCAUGCGGAGGCUGUGGUCCCUGCGGAGGCUGCUACGUUUGUCCCACGCGCUACUUGAGAAGGAAAGACAAUGCACCCUGUGUUUGGUGCGCACCAUGCAAGGCUCACUGCUACAACACUCCACCGAAAUGUUGUUGCUAGCGAGUCUCGCAUAAUGCGCCGACAGGGACUCAUUCUAUAAGGAAAAUAACAUUCAUAGUAUACGCCAAAAAACCAGCUACCCAAUCCUAAUCCUAAUGUCAAAUUCUGUGGAUUUUGAUGGACCAGCUCGUGAAGAAAGCAUUGGAAUAGAUAAUUCGAUGUUUAAGAAACUGGAUGGGGUCGGGUCAAGUCGGUGAAUGGCUGUUACUGUGAACACAUUGGAAAGAACAAAUUUGGAAGCCAAGUUGAAUCAAGAAAGAUAAAAAUUAUGGCACUGCGAAGAUCUGCUGCUUGAACAGGAGUGUAAACUUUUCGAAGAAGGUUCUGUAUUUGUACAGUCAAUUGUGGCGCUUCGAAAUAUUGCAAUGCCAUUUAAAAUGGUAUAUACUUAAGCCAGGCUUCUAUCCUUCGCGACUCGAGGCGCUUUUAAAGGAGUUGGCACAAAUUGAGCGAAUGCGACCUGAACAGGAAACGAAUCGGAACUCUUCUUUGAAUUUUAACAAUUAUUAAAAUCGAAAUUUUCAGUUAUACCCCUUUGUUUAAAAUAUAUUUUGGAAUCUA